UAAGAAAAAUUCCGUUAGUUUAGUUAGGAAUAUCAACAACUUCAACAUUCAGUGGUGCAGCACAAGGAGCCAAUGAAACUGUGUAAAUAUUUUGUGCAACUAAUGUUAGUUUUCUUGUAGCAACGAUUCUGGAUCUCCGUAGGCUAUCCCUGAAUCGGAGAUUCUGAGUUUAUCUGCAUUCAUCCAGGGACCUGGAUACGGGUGUUCAUGUGUAUCAGCCAGAUGACUAGGAGAAAACCACCACAGACUGGUUCAAUUGAUGGCAGGAUGAUUGAUUUGUUGCUUAAAUUCGUUGAACUAUGCUGCCGGUUUAUUACUCUUAUUUACACGUUUAGCUCCACCUCAGCAACCUUCUGGACGCUCUAUAUUGGUCGACGUCAAUCUCACGUGGAUUCGUGGCUUGGGCUCUAACUGGUGAUUUCGAGUGGCAGUUUAUUGCAUUUUUACACGUUUAUUACACAAUUCAACUUGGCUUGUACCAGGACGACUUCUGGUCCAGAAACGCCCAGAACUGCAAAGGAUCACUCGGCUUAUUACCGACAAGUCGUCACCCCCAGGUGUUUGGUUGAUGAAUGCACUGAUAAUUGAAUUAUAAAUAAACAUUUUUUUCUGUC